CGGGUGAGUAAUGCGUGACCAACCUGCCCCAUGCUCCAGAAUAGCUCUUGGAAACGGGUGGUAAUGCUGGAUGCUCCAACUUGACGCAUGUCUUGUUGGGAAAGUGUUUAGUGGCAUGGGAUGGGGUCGCGUCCUAUCAGCUUGUAGGCGGGGUAAUGGCCCACCUAGGCUUCGACGGGUAGCCGGCCUGAGAGGGCGGACGGCCACAUUGGGACUGAGAUACAGCCCAGACUCCUACGGGAGGCAGCAGUU
rnacentral:rRNA from 1 species